AAGUCGAGCGACAGAUAAGGAGCUUGCUCCUUUGAAGUUAGCGGCGGACGGGUGAGUAACACGUGGGUAACCUACCUAUAAGACUGGAAUAACUUCGGGAAACCGGAGCUAAUGCCGGAUAACAUUUGGAACCGCAUGGUUCUAAAGUAAAAGAUGGUUUUGCUAUCACUUAUAGAUGGACCCGCGCCGUAUUAGCUAGUUGGUAAGGUAACGGCUUACCAAGGCAACGAUACGUAGCCGACCUGAGAGGGUGAUCGGCCACACUGGAACUGAGACACGGUCCAGACUCCUACGGGAGGCAGCAGUAGGGAAUCUUCCGCAAUGGACGAAAGUCUGACGGAGCAACGCCGCGUGAGUGAUGAAGGUUUUCGGAUCGUAAAACUCUGUUAUUAGGGAAGAACAAAUGUGUAAGUAACUGUGCACAUCUUGACGGUACCUAAUCAGAAAGCCACGGCUAACUACGUGCCAGCAGCCGCGGUAAUACGUAGGUGGCAAGCGUUAUCCGGAAUUAUUGGGCGUAAAGCGCGCGUAGGCGGUUUCUUAAGUCUGAUGUGAAAGCCCACGGCUCAACCGUGGAGGGUCAUUGGAAACUGGGAAACUUGAGUACAGAAGAGGAAAGUGGAAUUCCAUGUGUAGCGGUGAAAUGCGCAGAGAUAUGGAGGAACACCAGUGGCGAAAGCGACUUUCUGGUCUGUAACUGACGCUGAUGUGCGAAAGCGUGGGGAUCAACAGGAUUAGAUACCUGGUAGUCCACGCCGUAACGAUGA
rnacentral:rRNA from 1 species